rnacentral:lncRNA from 1 species
CCAUCCUUGCUGCCAUCGAUUUCUGUGCCCACGCCCCCUCUUCCUCUCUCUCUCUGGCCCACGCUCUCUGUCUUUAGGCGUCCCUCUUGGAGCUAGAGGAGAGGUGGGCAGCAUCCCUUUUCUUUGGUGUCAAGUGUUGGCGCCAAGUUGUUGGUGGUUUCAUCCUCUUUUUUUCAAGUUUGUUAGGAGUUAGUUAUAACUACUUCUUGUUUGUUGUUCUUCUUGAUUAGUUGAAGGAUCAAGAAAGAUUUUUGAUUUCUUCAUGAAUCAAGAAAGAAAGAUCAAAAGGGUUCACAAAGUAAUCCCUAUUC